UACAUGCAGUCGAGCGGACAGAUGGGAGCUUGCUCCCUGAUGUUAGCGGCGGACGGGUGAGUAACACGUGGGUAACCUGCCUGUAAGACUGGGAUAACUCCGGGAAACCGGGGCUAAUACCGGAUGGUUGUUUGAACCGCAUGGUUCAGACAUAAAAGGUGGCUUCGGCUACCACUUACAGAUGGACCCGCGGCGCAUUAGCUAGUUGGUGAGGUAACGGCUCACCAAGGCGACGAUGCGUAGCCGACCUGAGAGGGUGAUCGGCCACACUGGGACUGAGACACGGCCCAGACUCCUACGGGAGGCAGCAGUAGGGAAUCUUCCGCAAUGGACGAAAGUCUGACGGAGCAACGCCGCGUGAGUGAUGAAGGUUUUCGGAUCGUAAAGCUCUGUUGUUAGGGAAGAACAAGUGCCGUUCAAAUAGGGCGGCACCUUGACGGUACCUAACCAGAAAGCCACGGCUAACUACGUGCCAGCAGCCGCGGUAAUACGUAGGUGGCAAGCGUUGUCCGGAAUUAUUGGGCGUAAAGGGCUCGCAGGCGGUUUCUUAAGUCUGAUGUGAAAGCCCCCGGCUCAACCGGGGAGGGUCAUUGGAAACUGGGGAACUUGAGUGCAGAAGAGGAGAGUGGAAUUCCACGUGUAGCGGUGAAAUGCGUAGAGAUGUGGAGGAACACCAGUGGCGAAGGCGACUCUCUGGUCUGUAACUGACGCUGAGGAGCG
rnacentral:rRNA from 1 species